rnacentral:rRNA from 1 species
GAACCACCUGAUCCCAUCCCGAACUCAGCAGUGAAACGAUGUAUCCGCCGAUGGUAGUGUGGGGUUUCCCCAUGUGAGAGUAGGUCAUCGUCAAGA